CUGCACACCAUUGUGUGAAACAGGGUAAGGUCUGCAACUUUACUGAGCCUUGAUUUCGUCAUCUGUCCUUUGAGGAUUGCCUUGCUGUGGGAAGCAGUUUCCUCAUGGAAAGUCCCAUCUGCUGUGUUCUUAUUCUCGACUUGUGGAUCUGCCCAUGUACCUGGAGGAUGCUGCAGAGAUGGCACAGGAAGCUGGUGGAUGCGUGUGUGAGGGAUGGAGAUCAUUAAGACCAACAGCACACUGCACAGAAAUCAUCUCUUUAAUCAGAGAAGCUUAAAAACAGGCCAUGGGACUAAGGUGGAGCAGGGCUAUGAGAACCAACAAAUAAAAAAGAAAAAGAAA